CCCUUUAGGAAACUCUCAAGAUUUCCUGCGUAAAGGGAACCAGGGGAGAAGGGGAAAUAGAGAAAUCCCCUUUUAAGAAACUCCCUUGCUUCAUGCCAUUGCUCAACCACAACUUCCCUCAGGGGCCAGCCUCCCCAGCCCAGGACGGCUGCUGCCAGGGAUGUCCGCUCUGCAGAGUCUGAUCUCCAUAGCAACCCCAAGGCACAUUCUCACCUGGCCGGGAGGGAGUCGCACCUGGGGCCUGGAAGCUCACCUGGAGAUGCAGGUUUUCAUGGGAAGAUGAACAGCCUUGUUGCAGAAGCCAGAAUCGCCAGCCCUUUGAAGACCCCCAGCCCUUUGCAUACCCGCAGGCCUCUGCAAAUACCUGUAAACUGCCCACUUGGCAUCCCUCCCCCAUGGAAUCUUUGUGCUUCUACCCACGAGAAGCAGCAGCUGACGGUGGGGGGCAGAGCAGAUGUCUGUGGCUGACCUGCUGAGCUCCCACGCUGCCGCUGGCAGGAUUAGAAUAAACGCUCAGGACGACAGGUGACUUCCAGCGAAGGCUCAGCGCUGGGCCGGACCCCCUGUCCCCGGCAAGGGCAUGUUCCUCCCCGCUGUCUGCGGUCGCUCUCUGUGUCCGCGGCUGCAUGAAGCCUUUUCACCUCAACCACAUCCUCCGGUCCAGCCUGGUCUCCUCCGAGGUGGCAUUUCGGUCUCUACCUGUCUGGCACCUGCUUUUGCUUCUCAGUCCUGAAAGCAGGAGAGGGGUUUCUCUGGCCUCGAAAACUCCAGCAGCGGUGGCUGCUACUAUCACCCCCAUGUCAACGAUGAGGCAACAGGAGCACAGAGAGGCUCUGGAACGUUCCACAGAGCUGGUAAGGGCAGCAGUAGGAACAGGCAUGUGAAUCCAGGCACGUGCGAUGCCAUGACGACAACCCUUUAUAUGCAACCAGCCCGCUUUUCUGCCCUUUCCCAGAAGUGAGCGAGAGGAGGCAAUAUGUCCUUGUGACCAGCCCCCUGGCGCUUAGGGCCUGCCGGCCUGC